GGAAGUGGCAGAAAGGGAAGCGUUCCAUCCAACAUGCAGCCCUCUGGGCUGUGAGAUACAGGACGCACUGGAGGAAACAUCACCUGUAAAACUGCUGAGUAUGAAUUUGAUAAUCAUAAAAACAACAAUAAUAAUGAUAGAUGCAUCCAUCAAUAAUAAUUAUAAUUAAUGAAUACAAUCUUGCUUGCUCAGUGUCAUUCUGUCUUUGUCAAUCUCUCUUACACUCUCUCUUUGUCUCCCCAUCGCUUGUCUAGCAGGACUCCCCUCAUCUGGAGAAUGUAGGAACUGCAUGACUAUACCCUUUUCUGCAUGUUGCAGUGGAGACAUGUGGAUAUAAGGUGCAAAAUUAGGUGCGCUGUUUAACACCAUGGCGCAUAUAUAUAUAUAUAUACACUACUCUUUUUUAAAAAAAAAAAAAUCAGAUUAGGUUUUAGUGCAUUUGUCUAUAUUAUAGGUCACUUUUACUGCUCUAAUAGGCUGUUCUCCUCACAUAACUUCUAAGAACUUAAGUAGAAUAUAAAUUGCACAGAUCUUCUGUGCCAUUAGCAAAUGUUCAUUCUGCUUUUCGACCUGCCCUAGUCUUUAAUGUGCUGGAAUAUGACGAUAUGGCGCAUUGCAUGGCAAGAGUGCACGCACUUUAUGCUUCGUGCAUUUGCAUUAGACUACGUAGAGUAGGCCUAGUAAAUUAUUUAGUUGUUUCUGUGUGUUUUAAGAUAAAUAGUAAUAACAACAACAACAAAAAAACAUUACAGGCUAAAUGAUAAUAAACAACAAAAAAUAACUCUAAUAACUAAUAAAUGACAAUAUAUCUAAAAAAAAAAUUAAAAGCAUUUAAUAUGUGAAUUUAGAUUAUUAGAUUAUAUUGAAGCCGGUGUUCAGCAGCAGAUACGAUUUUCUGGCUGAUCCAAGCUAGAUGAGUAUUAGAAAAAAAAAAGGAAAAAAAAAACAUAAUGUGCAUAAUGUUACGUGAUAUAUAAAGCUGUCAUGUCAAGGUCGGUGGUCUGCUUGUGGUCUCAUUGGAAUUCUGCGGCACUCUGCUAAGUGAUUCAAGUAAAAAUAAGUAAGUAAAACAGGCUAAAAAGCUGGAGAAAACCUAAGGCAAAUGCGAGAGCAAAACCCUGCAGCCGUUGGUAAGCAGGCGCAUUUUUUGCGCACGUAUGAGGUGUACUGCCUCGCAACCGUCUGAUUUGUCAAGUGUGACAAAACAAAAGCAAUCUCGAACGGCUCCCCUCCGUUUCCAGGCAUCAGUGUGUAAUCAUACAAUAAAUGCCCACAUAAACACGGCAGCAUAAACACAAACACCAAAUGCGCAUUCCACAGUGUUUGAUCUGAAAUCGAUUAAUGCCUGCAUCUUUCCACACUAAGGCGUUGCUGUGCAGUAUUCGUCCUUAGUUUAUUUUGUGAGUUGCACGGAGACAACCACAUUUUCAGACUUAUUCGGGGUGUCAAGAAGCGUUGUGUUGCUGAAAGAAUCUUGCUCCAAGAAUUAAAAUAAAAUCAUAUAAUUGUAGCAAGUGGAAGGAUAGUUUAAGAAUGGCACUAACACUGAAAUUAUUAGGCACAUUUUCCACAAUUGCCUGUGACUGCAUAUUUAUGGCUGGGACUGUGCGGGAUGAGUGAAGUUUUAUAUUUAAGCUUUUUAAAUAUUAUUGUUACAGGUAAAUGUUAGGAGAAUUUGUCUUGCGCAGCAGUCCCACUUAAAAAAAAAAAAAAAGUAAGAACAAUUUCAGCAAUAUAAUUUUGUUAUUAAUAUCUCCCAGAAGGGGGUUGAUUCACAUCAAUACAUUACCACCGGUCACUCUUGAUAUUUAUGAUAUAAUUUAACAAUUUUAACAGUAUUUCCCAUUGUGUACCCGUAUUAAAUAGUGCUGAAGUCCAUCGCUUUUCACUCUUUUAUUUAUUUAUUAAUUAUUAUUAUUAUUUUAUCACGCCCAGUAAAGAGUAAGCUCGUUUAAGCCCGCGAUUCGUUGACUCUAAUCGAUAAUUUUUCUUUUAAUUAUAUGUAUUUAUCCGGUAGCGACAAUCAAACAGACGCACGUCUCCAGAGGUUUAAAUUUACUUCCAAAUCGCCUCCAGAUCAGACACAGCUAAACUCCUCCAACAGACACCUGACACCCGCAAGGUGCAACGACCCCAGUCGGCAAAUAUUGGUGUUGGUUUUAAGUGUCAUCAGAAGGAUUCGCUUCCUCGAGUGUGCUUUGUCUUUAAAGUCUUAAGGCGAAUUUAAAGGGCGAUUUUUCAUUGUCUCGAAGUGCCCGAGAAUGUGAGCGCAUGGAAGUGAUCUCUCAGGUGCAGCUGAUGCUACGCUGUGGAAGGAGCGCACGCCUGUUCGUGCUUGUGCGCGCAGGCACGCCCGUCUAACGCGGCCGAGGCCCGCCGCCUCCCUGGCAUGGGAGAAAUUCUCAAACACAUUUGGAAGAUGUGAUGAAUGGAGUUUCCAUCAUGUGCAGCAUUCUGCUCAUCAGCCUCUCAUCUCUCACCAGGGUAAACACCAGAUACGCACGACUAUCACAUUUUAACAAAAGCAUUUUUUAAAUUUUUUUUAAUUUUUUGUUUGACAUGGUCUCAAUUUUCUUUCCCCAACUGAAUGAACCAUAGUGUUUUAUUGAAGAGACUUCUUUUUUUAUUUGUGUGUCUACGGUUUUGAUUUAGUGUUUGUGAGUUUAGUGAUCUCAGAGCUCAAUAUGGAAAUUAUUAGACAGGGCCCAGCUUGCCUGCAUUUUAGCACACCAGGACCAAUAAGAGACUUAAAGUUUAAAACAAAGUGCCUUGGAGAAACUCUCAUGUUCGUGAUAUUUCCAUGAGUUCCUAAAAACCUUUAAUAAUAAUAAAAAAAAAAAGAUCAACAAUAACUAUUGCAUUUGCUACUGUGGCUGCUCAUUUUUCUCAGCACCCUGUGCCAUUAAAUUUAACAACUGGUUAUUUGCACCUAUUUGAAAAUAUCACAUUUUGUGAUGUUAAACAUAUAAAAUGUAUUAAACCUAAAGUUUCACAGCUUCAGUCUAAAAUGAGCCCUUGUUUCUAAUGAUUUUGAGGGAGGGAGGGAAAAUCAAUGUUUAAUCUGUUGAAACCCAACCAAGCCCAACCUGUAAAGAAGCACACAGAUUCCUUGGUAAACUUGAACCACUCUCCUUAAAAAAAAAAUAAAGAAAGAAAAAGAAAGAAAAAAGGUUUGUCCGUUCCUAUCUGAUCUAGAGGUGGUGAUGUGUAGUUUCUUUGUGCUCCUGCUGGUGAGGUUCUGCUAAAAGGAGACUUGGAAGGCAGCGAGUACAGUUCUUUUAUAGCCACAAGACCCACUCUGAGCUGCAGAACACGCCUAAUGAGGGCGCACAGCGGUGCCAUGUGAGACAUGCCAGCUUUUACCAGCUUGGAUAAUUGCUUGUGACCUUCUCUAAACACGUCUCAUGUGUCUUCAUGCCCUGAACAUACUUCUAAUUGUUACAUUAAUGGGACCGUCUGAGGAUUAUGUGUACAUUGACAGUUUGUGGAGAGAGGAAGAAGAAGAAGAAGAGGAAGAAGGCAAAUAAGUACGCUUUACUUCCAGCCUGCUGUGGAAUUAGGUGUCAGGCAUUUGUCUGCUUAGUUGGGAGACUCUACUUGUAGUUUUCACAUACCAAUAAAGGGAAUCAAAAUGUUUUAAUUAGUGCAACUUACCCAGGCAUUUUAUGCUACUAUCUUAUUACACACAUGUGGAAUUAUGUCCUUGGGAAACCAAGACAACUAUGUCGCAUGUUGUGGACAAAUUUGCUUUUCAUUUAAAGUGGAAACAUAAAGGAGAUUAUUUUUCCUCUAUGCUCUUGGUAUUUUUUUUAUUUUUUUUAUUUUCAAUAAUAAUAAAUU